rnacentral:rRNA from 1 species
UCGUCAGCUCGUGCCGUGAGGUGUCGGCUUAAGUGCCAUAACGAGCGCAACCCCUCUCUCCGGUUGCCAUCAGGCAAUGCUGGGCACUCCGGAGACACUGCCGCCGCAAGGUGUGAGGAAGGUGGGGAUGACGUCAAAUCAGCACGGCCCUUACGUCCGGGGCUACACACGUGUUACAAUGGCCGGUACAGAGCGUCGGAGGCCCGCAAGGUCCUUCCAAUCGUUAAAUCCGGUCCCAGUUCGGACUGGGGUCUGCAACCCGACCCCACGAAGCUGGAUUCGCUAGUAAUCGCGCAUCAGCCAUGGCGCGGUGAAUACGUUCCCGGGCCUUGUACACACCGCCCGUCAAGCCAUGAAAGCCGGGGGUGCCUGAAGUCCGUGACCGCAAGGAUCGGCCUAGGGCAAAACCGGUGAUUGGGGCUAAGUCGUAACAAGGUAGCCGUA